CGUAGGGUGCGAGCGUUAAUCGGAAUUACUGGGCGUAAAGCGUGCGCAGGCGGUUUAGUAAGACAGGCGUGAAAUCCCCGGGCUCAACCUGGGAACUGCGCUUGUGACUGCUAAGCUAGAGUACGGCAGAGGGGGUGGAAUUCCACGUGUAGCAGUGAAAUGCGUAGAGAUGUGGAGGAACACCAAUGGCGAAGGCAGCCCCCUGGGUCGAUACUGACGCUCAUGCACGAAAGCGUGGGAAGCAAACAGGAUUAGAUACCCUGGUAGUCCACGCCCUAAACGAUGUCAACUAGGUGUUGGGAGGGUAAAACCUUUUAGUACCGGAGCUAACGCGUGAAGUUGACCGCCUGGGGAGUACGGCCGCAAGGUUA
rnacentral:rRNA from 1 species